rnacentral:rRNA from 1 species
UACGUAGGGGGCAAGCGUUAUCCGGAAUUACUGGGUGUAAAGGGAGCGUAGACGGUAAUGUAAGUCUGGAGUGAAAGGCGGGGGCCCAACCCCCGGACUGCUCUGGAAACUAUGUUACUAGAGUGCAGGAGAGGUAAGCGGAAUUCCUAGUGUAGCAGUGAAAUGCGUAGAUAUUAGGAGGAACACCAGUGGCGAAGGCGGCUUACUGGACUGUAACUGACGUUGAGGCUCGAAAGCGUGGGGAGCAAACAGG